UGCCAGCCGCCGCGGUAACACGGGGGGCGCAAGCGUUAUUCGGAAUUAUUGGGCGUAAAGGGCGCGCAGGCGGUCUUGUCCGUCAGGUGUGAAAGCUCGGGGCUCAACCCCGGAAGUGCACUUGAAACAGCAAGACUUGAAUACGGUAGAGGAGAGAGGAAUUCCUGGUGUAGAGGUGAGAUGCGUAGAUAUCAGGAGGAACACCGGUGGUGAAGACGGCUCUCUGGACCGAUACUGACGCUGAGACUCGAAAGCGUGGGGAGCAAACAGGAUUAGAUA
rnacentral:rRNA from 1 species